UACGAAGGGGGGCUAGCGUUGCUCGGAAUCACUGGGCGUAAAGCGCACGUAGGCGGAUUGUUAAGUCGGGGGUGAAAUCCUGGAGCUCAACUCCAGAACUGCCUUCGAUACUGACGAUCUCGAGUCCGGGAGAGGUGAGUGGAACUCCGAGUGUAGAGGUGAAAUUCGUAGAUAUUCGGAAGAACACCAGUGGCGAAGGCGGCUCACUGGCCCGGUACUGACGCUGAGGUGCGAAAGCGUGGGGAGCAAACAGG
rnacentral:rRNA from 1 species